rnacentral:rRNA from 1 species
GUCCACGCCGUAAACGAUGGCAACUAGAUGUGGGGGGUGUCGACUCCCCCCGUGUCGAAGCUAACGCAUUAAGUUGCCCGCCUGGGGAGUACGGCCGCAAGGCUAAAACUCAAAGGAAUUGACGGGGGCCCGCACAAGCAGCGGAGCAUGUGGUUUAAUUCGACGCGACGCGAAGAACCUUACCUGGGCUUGACAUGUGAGUGACAAGUGUGGAAACACACUCUCCCUUCGGGGCACUUUCACAGGUGGUGCAUGGCUGUCGU